UACAGAGGGGGCAAGCGUUGUUCGGAAUUACUGGGCGUAAAGGGCGCGUAGGCGGCCCGUUAAGUCGAACGUGAAAUCCCCAGGCUCAACCUGGGAACUGCGUCCGAUACUGGCGGGCUUGAAUCCGGGAGAGGGAUGCGGAAUUCCAGGUGUAGCGGUGAAAUGCGUAGAUAUCGAGAGGAACACCUGCGGCGAAGGCGGGUAGCUGGGCCGACACUGACGCUGAGGCGCGAAAGCCAGGGGAGCGAACGGG
rnacentral:rRNA from 1 species